rnacentral:rRNA from 1 species
UCAUUCUAGAUACACUUUCCAGUACAUCUACUAUGUUACGACUUAUCUUGUCUUAAUAACAAGAGUGACGGGCGAUGUGUGCAUAUUCUAGAGCUAUAAUCAAAUUGAUAGUAUAGACAAUUUUACUAUUAAAUCCAUCUUCAUUCCAGGGUUACACCCAAAAAUCCGCAAUAAAUAAAUUUAUUGUAACCCAUUAAAACUUAAACAUAAACUGCACCUUGACCUGACAUAAAUUUUAUAUUCAAAUUACAGAAAAUUAUAAUUCUAAAGAAAUAUUCAAUAACGGCGGUAUACAAAUUGAAAACAAGUUUAAGUAAGGUCCACCGUGGACUAUCGAUUACUCAACAGGUUCCUCUAAAUAGACUAGAAUACCGCCAAAUUUUUAAAGUUUCAAGCACAUAACUACUACUACUCAGGUAUAGAGAGGAACAUAUUUAAUAAUAGGGUAUCUAAUCCUAGUUUAAACUAAAAAUUUUAUAGCUUCAAUAACCUUAAAAUAUAACUAUUUAAAUUUUAAAAUUUCACCUAAAAAAAUUAUAGUUAAUUAUAGUAAACUGUACAUUUAACCACUAACCAAUAAAAUUUAAUUGAGUCCUCUGUAUAACCGCGGCUGCUGGCACAGAUUUAGCCAACCCUAAAUAAAAAUACUAUUUCUAAAAUUACUUAAUUAAUAAUAUUAAUUACUGCAAAACACCUACAUUUAGUAAAUACAAAAAUUUACAUGUAAAAUAAUUUAUAAAUAAAUUUUUAAGCCAAAAUAAAACUUUAA